GCAAGAGAACUGGGGUGGACAGCAACCUAGACCAACCCCAGGCCCAUCCCCACCUCUGAGGUGGAUGCUUCAGAAUCCUCAGAGGAUGCACCGUCAUGGCGUUCACCUGCAACCUCCACCAGUACAGAUGCAGUCACCUCGCUGGGAAAUGUGCAGGAGCAGAGAAUAUGAGUAAAAUGCCUCCUCCUACUGAGCAAAAAGAAGGCACAAAAAAAGAACAACUGGUACCCUCUCUACAGACAAUGACAAAACUGCCCAGUGUGAUGCAAUGCACACAAUUUUGCAUUCAAUCCAAGUGGGAUGAAAACAGACACUUCACCCCAGGGUGGGCAUGAAAGAGCCCAUCCCUUGUCGAUUCACAUCAUCCUGAGACUUUUCAAAUAUUUCUGAGAUUGGACAUCAAAAUGCAAUGAUCUGUUCUGAAACAAUAAAUGCAGCAGACGUGAACUAAUCGAACUUAUCUGGAAUAUGCACCCAGCAAAGUACUUUAUGGAUGCUUCACCAAGCAGGAGGCAAAGAACAAAAGACAAUGUUAUACUGAACAGAGGCUGCUGAAGCUGCGUGCCCUCUCUGUCUCUCUCUCUCUCUUUGAAGUACUGCCUGGUUUGCAAAGUAACCAUCCUGAGAAGAGAAACCAACUGCAAACUGUGAUCCUUUUGGAAAAAAAAGUGGAAAUCUGCUCCACACAACUACAUCCAGGAAGACAGCUGAAUGAAACGGUCAGAGUAUGGAACCACUGCAUCAAGAUCAGCCAAGGAACCACUAACUGUAUCUUCCUUUGUUUUAUUUUUCAUGAACUGUAAAAAAAUCCUAUAAGCCUAUCCUCUUACUUGCCAUCUGAACUGGUGUGUGCCUUGUCCCAGACAAAUGCAUGUGACAUAUGAAUGGUGGCUGUGAUUUACCUAGGUAUUUUUUAGCUCUGGAAAUAGUUUCAAUAAACUUAUCUUGUUCUUUGUUUAACCUA